GUAAGGAAUAUUGGUCAAUGGACGCAAGUCUGAACCAGCCAUGCCGCGUGGAGGAUGAAGGUCCUCUGGAUUGUAAACUUCUUUUAUCUGGGACGAAAAAAGAUCUUUCUAGAUCAACUGACGGUACCAGAUGAAUAAGCACCGGCUAACUCCGUGCCAGCAGCCGCGGUAAUACGGAGGGUGCAAGCGUUAUCCGGAUUCACUGGGUUUAAAGGGUGCGUAGGUGGAUUGGUAAGUCAGUGGUGAAAUCUCCGGGCUUAACCCGGAAACUGCCAUUGAUACUAUCAGUCUUGAAUACCGUGGAGGUCAGUAGAAUAUGUCAUGUAGCGGUGAAAUGCUUAGAUAUGACAUAGAAUACCAAUUGCGAAGGCAGCUGGCUACGCGAAUAUUGACACUGAUGCACGAAAGCGUGGGGAUCAAACAGGAUUAGAAACCCUAGUAGUCC
rnacentral:rRNA from 1 species